rnacentral:rRNA from 1 species
UACGUAGGGUGCAAGCGUUGUCCGGAAUUAUUGGGCGUAAAGAGCUCGUAGGCGGUCUGUCGCGUCUGCUGUGAAAAUCCAGGGCUCAACCCUGGACCUGCAGUGGGUACGGGCAGACUAGAGUGCGGUAGGGGAGAUCGGAAUUCCUGGUGUAGCGGUGAAAUGCGCAGAUAUCAGGAGGAACACCGGUGGCGAAGGCGGAUCUCUGGGCCGUAACUGACGCUGAGGAGCGAAAGCAUGGGUAGCAAACAGG